UACGAAGGGGGCUAGCGUUGCUCGGAAUCACUGGGCGUAAAGCGCACGUAGGCGGAUCUUUAAGUCAGGGGUGAAAUCCUGGAGCUCAACUCCAGAACUGCCUUUGAUACUGGCGAUCUUGAGUCCGGAAGAGGUGAGUGGAACUCCUAGUGUAGAGGUGGAAUUCGUAGAUAUUAGGAAGAACACCAGUGGCGAAGGCGGCUCACUGGUCCGGUACUGACGCUGAGGUGCGAAAGCGUGGGGAGCAAACAGG
rnacentral:rRNA from 1 species